rnacentral:rRNA from 1 species
AUGGGGCGGAGGUCCCCCGCGUGGUCUGCUGGAUCUCACGGCUGCGGGGCGGUUGCCGUGGUGGAGCAUGGGGCGCCGGCACGACUGUGCUUGGGUUGUGGCGUGCUGCACCAGUGUGCGCGUGGUCGGCGGCCUCCCGAGUGGCCUGCUGGUGCCGGCGGGGUCUUCACCCUAUCUGUCUGCUUAUCUGAUGCCGAGGUGGCCGGUGGUUUCGACCAGUGGUUGGUUUCUACGGUGGGCGUGUGGCUGGGACCCCGUCCCCUAUUAUUCGUCUUAUACAGCAGCGCCAGCGAAAGGACGAUGUGGUGCUGGACAGACUCCCUUCCGCUUCCUCCUCUGUGGAUAUAUCUUUCCUUUCUUCCUUCUUUACUGAUUCCAAUAGUUUUAUAUGGAAGCUAG